rnacentral:rRNA from 1 species
UACGUAGGGGGCAAGCGUUGUCCGGAAUCAUUGGGCGUAAAGAGCUCGUAGGCGGCUCAGUAAGUCGGGUGUGAAACCUCCAGGCUCAACCUGGAGACGCCACCCGAUACUGCUGUGGCUAGAGUCCAGUAGGGGAGUGUGGAAUUCCCGGUGUGAGCGGUGAAAUGCGCAGAUAUCAGGAGGAACACCAAUUGCGAAGGCAGCUCGCUGGGACGUCACUGACGCUGAGACGCGAAAGCCAGGGGAGCAAACGGG